CUGCAGCCAAUUAAGCCGACCAUGUCCUUUUCCCCAUGGAGGCCAGAUGUGCAGUGGCUGCAAACAGCAGCCUCCUUGGUAGCGUAUGCAGUCUGUUGCUUGUAUGGGUUGCCCUAAGGGACCUUGGAGAUAGCC
ensembl:snoRNA SNORA70 Small nucleolar RNA SNORA70